rnacentral:lncRNA from 1 species
GUAUGCUUUAUUUUACAUGAUAUAGCCAUAAUAGGCAAAUCCGUAGAGACGGAAAGCAACCCAGAGGUUACCAGGGGAGGAGUGGGGGAUGGGGAGUGACUGCUUAAUGGGUACAGGGUGUUUCGUGAUAUGAUGAAAAAUUUUGAAACUAGAGAGAGCUGGUUUCUGCAUAACGUUGUGAACACACUAAAAACCACUGAACCGUGCACUCUCAAAUGCCUCCAUGUACGUCGUGUGAAUUCCACCAAUAAAACAGAAACAAGGACUGGCAUUGGACAUAGCAAAGGCUGGGGCUAGGACUAACCCGGGCACGGUGGCCUCUGAUCAGAGCCUGUGAUCUUAACUGCAAAUCUGAAUUUUCGUAUUGUAUUUUUCAGUCUUGGAACUUCCACUUGAUUCUUUUCUCUAGUUUCCAGUUUCCUGCUGAAAUUCUCGUUAUCUAACUUCCUGAAUGUAUUAAUCACAGUUAUUAGAAUUCCCCUUAAAGCCUGGGGCAUUUUUCACAGAUCGGCCACCAUGAUGGGUCCUGCACUCCAAUUUUUGUUCCCCGAGACUUUGAGACACCAAAGCUCUGCCAGCUUCUCAGCCUCUCCACGGCCCCAGUCAGUACACACCUUGAGGGGAAAAGCAACUCCCAAUUUCAGGCGCAUCUUUCUGGGCCACUUCUAGGUGUUCUGGGUGGGAAGGCUGACCUAAAACCAGUGAGCCCACCAUGGCGAGAAGCAGGAAGCACCAGACCCUCCUUCCCUACUCCUCCAGCUGCUGCUCUCCUGCCAACACAGAUAAAGACUUAAAAAUUAAAAAGCAAAAAAAAAAAAAAAAAAAAGAAGAGUUAGGCUGGUAAAAUUGCAUUUUUCUUUUCUUUUCUUUUUUGUGGUGAAGAAGAUUGUCCCUGAGCUAACAUCUGUGGCAAUCUUCCUCUAUUUUGAAUGUGGGACACCACCAUAGCAUGGCUUGAGGAAUGAUGUAUAGGUCCGCACCCAGGAUCCAAACCUGCAAAACCCAGGCCACCAAAGUGGAGAGUAUGAACUUAAGCACUAUGCCACCAGCUGGCCCCAAAAUUGCAGUUUUCAAAGUGGGAUUAUUUAUUUACUUAUUUGGGAGAACAUUUCCCUCUAUUUCAUUACAAGAAAUACUGCACAGUAUAAUUUCUGAAGGAAAUUAAUGAUAAAAACUGCCAUUUAUUGAGUACAUCAAAAGAGCUUACUAUUUUAAACGUUUUACAUGUAUUAACUCACGUAAUCCUCAUAAAAAGCCUGAGAGCAUCUCCACUGCCAUUGUUGAAGGGACCAAGCCCCAGAGAGGUGAAGACACUGGCCUGAGGACAUACAGCUUGUCCAUCAGGGAGCAGAGACACAAACCCAGGUCUGCCCAGACAUUGUUCUUCAAGACCGAAGAGAAAGGAGUGAGUCAUCAUAAGGAAUGAGUAUCCAUAUUUGGGAGGGCAAGAAAGGCAGAAAAAAAUUUGCGGACACUAGAUGGAAAAUCGUUAAGGAGGAGGAAAAAAAGAGUUCUGAGUUCUCUUUGGUGGGCCCCAGGUUUGAGGAUAAGUAACUUAACCUCCCUGGCCUCAGUGUCUUCAUCUGUAAAAUGGGACUGAUAAAGGCCCUAACCCCUCAGGCUUUCCCCAGGCCUCAGCCCCCUUUCCCAUUUCCCCUCUCCAAGCAGAACCUGACAUCUUCCCUGUUGGGGAGGUUUGGGUCAGGGAGAGGAAAACAAGGACUCAGCUUCUGGGCCAGCUGCACACCUGCCUGAGCAGAGCCUCCUCCCUCUCCGGAAAGAACCUUAGACUUGGAUGGCAGGCCCUGCAGGUGGGGAGAACGGAGAGGGCACGUUCCCAGGCCAACUGAAGAAUGCCUGCAAGUCCUUAUGGUCCCACAGGGAAGCAGGGUCCUCCCCAUGGAGUCACCCUCAGACUUAAAGAGCUCAGGGGAGGGCCAGAGCGCUCGAUGCUCACCCAGUCCCUUAGUCAAUGCGAGUUUACUGAGCACACAUCUAUCAAUCAGGACUCUCCUGCUUGCCAGUGACAAAAACUCAGCUUAAACUCCUAAAAAAAAAAAAAGGGAAUUGAUUGGUCCCUGUAACCAGCCCAAGGGGGUGGAUCAGGCACGUCUGGAUCCAGAGGCCUAGGGGACACCAUCAAGACCUGCCUCACUCCAUCCAGGGCUCUGCCUUGCCCUCUGCUGGCUUCCUUCUCAGGCAGGUGCACCCCACCUGGUGAUAAGGACACCCCCUAGCUGCUCCAGGCUGACCUCCUCAACAACCCCUACAGGGAGAGAGCUCUUUCCCAGACUUGCAGCAAAAGUCCAGGGCUGAUGCUAGCUGGCUCCGUUGACCCUGACCCAACCCCACAGUCAGAGGGACGUGGGCCUUGUAUCAGCCAGCCCUGGACUGCACUCUUACCCCGCAUGAGGGGUGUGGCCAGUUACUUAGCUGUUGAUAUGAGGAGGCAUAAACGACAGAUUUCUUUCUUUCUUUUUUUUUUUUUUAAGGAAGAUUAGCCCUGAGCUAACAUCUGCCAAUUCUCCUCUUUUUUGCUGAGAAAGACUGGCCCUGAGCUAACAUCCGUGCCCAUCUUCCUCCACUUUAUAUGUGGGACACUUACCACAGCAUGGCUUGCCAAGUAGUGCCAUGUCUGCACCGGGGAUCCAAACUGGUGAACCCCGGGCCACCGAAGUGGAGCGUGUGCACCCAACCGCUGCACCACCAGGCCAGCCCCAAAUGACAGAUUUCUUGAGCCCUUUGCUCUGUGCUGUAGCUGUGUUUAAACCUCCCAGGACCCUGUAAGGUAAGUACCAUGUGUUAUCCCUGUCAGGCAGGUGAGGAAACUAGGGCACAGAGAGGUCAAGUUACUUGCCCCAAAUCACAAAGCUGGGAGAUAGCGAGGCUGGGCCUCAACUCAAGCACUCACAGAGCUCGACGCCUAACCGUUGCACCACAGGCUUCUAUCGUUUCCCCUUCAAACCCUGUCCUCUGUCCGGGCUGUAUCACUUCAGUUGCUCAAAUGAUUGGGCUCUCUCUCACCUCCAGGCCUUUGCACUCACUGCUCCCUCUGUUUGGUAUCCCCCCUUCCCUUUUCCUCCCGGUUAAGUCCUAUUCAUCUUCCCAGCCUCUGCUGAAGCAGCCCUUGUUGAGCAAGUCUUCCCUGAUGCUUCAGGCUGAGCGGGGGCCCUUCUCCGUGUCGCCAGCCGCAGGUGUCCCCUGCGAUGCGUUGCAACUGCCCACUGCUCGAUGAUGUACCCUGCCAGGUGUCAGCUCCAUGAGGCCGGCUUCAUUCUUGCUGUUUUCGGGAACCAGGCUGCCGCUGAGAGAGCUGCAGGGGACGGGCUGACUCAGUGGUUGUUUAGCGUCCUGUGGCUGCUGUAACAAAUCACCACAAAUGCAGUGCCUUCCAACAACACAAAUGUGUCCUCUCUCGGCUCUGGAGGCCAGACAUCUGGGACCAGGCUCGCUGGGCCAAGGUCAAGAUGUUGGUAGAGCCAGGUCCUUCUAGAGGCUCCAGGGGAGAUCUGUUUCCUUGCCCCUUCAGCUUCCAGAGGCCACCUACAUCUCUUGGCUUUUGGCCCUUUUUCCAUCUUCAAAGCCAGCAGGGUGGCAUCUUCAGAUCUCUUUCUCUCUGUCCCUCUGCUUUGUCAUCGCAUCAUCUUCUGUCUGAAAGACACAGGAGGAGGACAUCCUCUCAUAAGGGCUGUUGCGAUUACAUUGGGCCCACUCGGAUAAUCCAGGAUAAUCUCCUCAUCUCAAAAUCCUUAACUUAAUCACAUCUGCAAAGUCUCUUUUGCCGUAGAAGGUAACGGUCACGGGUUCCAGAGGUGGACAGCUCGAGGAGCCACGGUCC